AUUGAACGCUGGCGGCGUGCUUAACACAUGCAAGUCGAUCGGUAACGCGGGGGCAACCCUGGCGACGAGAGGCGGACGGGUGAGGAACGCUUGGGAAUCUGCCUAUCAGCGGGGGACAACACGGGGAAACUCGUGCUAAUACCGCAUACGCUCUACGGAGGAAAGCCGGGGACCGCAAGGCCUGGCACUGAUAGAUGAGCCCAAGCCGGAUUAGCUAGUUGGCGGGGUAACGGCCCACCAAGGCGACGAUCCGUAGCUGGUCUGAGAGGACGAUCAGCCACACGGGGACUGAGACACGGCGCAGACUCCUACGGGAGGCAGCAGUGGGGAAGAUUGGACAAUGGGGGAAACCCUGAUCCAGCGACGCCGCGUGGGUGAAGAAGGCCUGCGGGUUGUAAAGCCCUUUCGGUAGGGACGAAAGCUCUCGACCUAACACGUCGGGAGGUUGACUUAACCUACAAAAGAAGCACCGGCUAACUCUGUGCCAGCCGCCGCAGUAAGAC
rnacentral:rRNA from 1 species